GACACGGACCUCGUCUCUCUUCUGCUUCUACCCGGCGAAACGCGGCGGCCGCCGAGAUCCGCUCCGCGCAGCCUCGCCGCCGCGUUCGACGAGGGAGCCUGUUUGGGAUGUUUGGGAUGCGGGCCAGCGGCGCGGCAACGCCGCGGGUGGUGGGGCGGACGCGCACCUCUACGACGACCCGGACGAUGCCGCCGUACCGGCGCUCCUCGACUCCCACUUCGACGGCGACAAGUUCGACUCGCCCAAGCACCUUCUCGCCCUCAUCUCUCUGGGCAUCGACGUCGCCCACCUCUCGACGCAGGCGGUCAUGAACUGGAGGCGUAGUCGUUUGAGGUGAAGAAGCCCGCGUACUUGCUCCACUACGCUGAGAAGUAAUGAAUCUGAUUGGAGAUGUUAAGAGGAAAAGUGUCUGUUAUGAUGGAUGAUAUGAUUGGUACAGCAGGAACUAUUGCCAAGGGAGAUGAGCUGCUGCAUCAAGAAAGAGCAAGAGAAGUCUAUGCAUGUUGUACACCUGCUGUUUAGCCCACCAGCCAUUGAGAGAUUAUCAAGUGGUUUGUUUCAAGAAGUAAUCAUCAUGAACACUAUCCCUUCAAAGAAGCAUUCAAGACUUUAUUGAGCAAGGCAAGCAACCUACUUUGAUCAUGUUGAACCCAUAUUUGCAUUACACACUUAAAAUUAUUUUGCAUGCAUAAAGUAUUGUUUACUAGUAUUGCUAUGCUAAGUAAAUUAGCUAGGGUUUAGCUAUGCUCUAUGUGCUUGAUAUUGACACCCCCUUUGACAUUCUUAAUACCCCUCGUUUCUAACCGGAGGAAUACAUACCCACUUGUCACAAAUAAAUGUGGGUCAUAGGCGCAAGUUUAAUAGUGCUUAGCCAUGCAAGUCAUAUAAAUCCUAGGACUGGGGAAUAAUCGUAGCACAUAACCCCAAUAUGGGACGAGGCUGAACUUAGUACCUUGGUCUGUUUAGUGUAGAGCCCUCACUAGGUGGAUACCUUGUACACCGUGACAAGAGUGGAAAAAUAUCAAUCAUGGGGGACUAUGUACCAUCAGGUGGACUCUAUAGUUGCAUCAUUCUUGAGAAAAGUUUUGUUCGAUUGUUCAAGUCGCGUAGACCUAGCACCAAGAUACCUUCAAGAUGCAAAGGCCUGCAUCUUUAAUUGUACAAAGUGCAACUUAGUCAGAGUUUCUCCUCUCUCAAGCUUAAGCCUUUCUCUAAACCAAACCUAUCCUAGGAAACCCAACCUAGCUAUCAAGGAUGUGAUAGCGUGGACUUAUAUCGAUGUACUUAACUUAUGGAAUUGCAAGAGGACCCAUUAAGCACCAACAACUUUUGAUUGGAAUGAAGCCCUACAUGAAAUUGUGAUUUUGUGAGUCAAUCAUGUUACAUCCUUAAGCCCCCAAUAUGCACCAAGUUGGGUGGUGCCAUAUUGAAAUGGUUUUCAUCAGUUAGAAGAUGAGGUAGUUUGAUGGUGAUGUAGAAGUGGUAUUGGGGAGAUAGAAGUCAAAGAUGUACGGUGGAUUAUGAGAUUUCAGGGCUAGUAGGUGAGCAUGAUGAUUAUUUUAUAAAUGGAUAACAUAUCUUUAAUUAAUAUUGAAACAAUUUGGAUUUAGUUUGGUGAUUGUGAUCUUGAAGCAAAUUUCACGGUGGAUUAUGAGAUUUUAUGUGGAUUUAGUUAUGUGAUUGUGAUCUCACGGUGGAUUAUGAGAUUUUAUGUGGAUUUAGUUAUGUGAUUGUGAUCUUAAGGAGAUAGUUAAAAAUGUUCGGUGCAUUAUGAGAUUUUAGAGCUAGUAGGUGAGCAUGAUGAUUAUUAUAUUGUUUAAUAAACAUAUAUUUAAUUAAUCUAUAAACAAUUUGGCUUUAGUAAGGUGAUUAUGAUCUUUAACUAAAUUUCAUGGUGAUUUAUGGGAUUUUAGUCUAGUAUGUGAGCAUGAUGAUUAUUAUAUUGUUAAAUAACGAAUCUUCAAUUAAUAUUACAAUAAUGUAUUUAGUUAAGUGAUAGUGAUCUUGAACCAAAUUUUACGGAGCAUUAUGAGAUUUUAGGUGGAUUUAGUUACGUGAUGUGCUCUUGAGAAGAUAGUCAAAGAUGUUUGGUGGAUUAUGAGAUUUUUGGGCUAGUCGGUGAGCAUGAUGAUUAUUCUAUUUGUGGAUAAAUAUAUCUUUUAUUAAUAUUGGAGCAAUAUAAAUUUAGUUAGGUGAUUGUGAUUUUCGACCGAAUUUCAUGGUGGAUUAUGAUAUCUUAGCCUGGAUUUAGUUAGGUGAUUGUGAUCUUGAGAAUACAGUCAAAGAUGUUUGGUGGAUUAUGAGAUUUUAAGUCUAUGAUAUCUUAGCCUGGAUUUAGUUAGGUGAUUGUGAUCUUGAGAAUACGGUCAAAGAUGUUUGGUGGAUUAUGAGAUUUUUGUUAGACCUUUCAACCUGAGCAUUGAUAGUUGUGGAUGACACUAGGAGAGUUGGGACAAUUUUCGUUGGU